rnacentral:lncRNA from 1 species
GAAUAAAGAAGGUGAUACGAUACCUUUGGAGAAUUUCACACUCUGGGAGAGCAAUUACAACGAAACAGUUCCUUGUAUCGUGGAACGUGGCCGGUUCCCGGCUGCUAAUGUCAGGCGCAGGCCGCUGGGUACCCAUUUUCUGCUAUGGCCUACAAUUCUAUAGAAACAAACAUCUCCCUCAAAAAAAAAAGUACAGUAUAUAAAAAUAAACCAGGUCGAUCAAUGUUCAACAAGCACCGGAUUCCUUUGUGUGUCUCAUUUCCAGUGGCGGACCUAGGAUUUUUACAUAGGGUGUGCCGCAAUAAAAUUUUCAUGUAUAAUUUUAUCUAAUAUACAUAUAAUUUAAUAGUAAAUUUAGUAAACAAUUUGAUAUAUAGAUAUAAAAUUUGACAUUCAACAAAUAAGUAUGAAACUUCUGUUUUUUGCAGCAUGAUUACGAAAAAUAGAGACAAUAUUUCCCUGCUUCUUCAUAUUUUAGUCACUACAAAAAUAAUGGUAGUAAAUCAACAAUCAAUAAGACAAAAAUCCUAAAUUCUAAAACCAGCAGGCAGAUCAAUAAAAUUCUAAACAAUCAAUAAAAUUCGUUGGUUUUUUGUUGGGUUCAAGGAAGAGGGGCAACAAGGCCAUGAGAGAAAAAACAUUGACAUAUUAUAUAAUUUGAGUGGUAGAGAUAGAACCACUGAAUUUAGCUUGAGAGAAAAUCGCUUUUGGAGCUAGCAGGUAAUCAGCAGCGGAAAGGGAAGCUACUACUGCUAAGAUCUGGAUCCAUGUGCCGCAGUGGCGGCGUCUGGCUGAGUCGGCGACUGGCGUCUGGCGGACAGCCGCACAGCGCGCACUCGCCACUUCGCCUUCGCCAGAAAGCCAGCCAGCCAUGUCUCCAGCCGCUAGGAACAGGCGAACAGCCGCAGUCGUGCUGAAGGAUUGGAGAAGUUGAAACAACCUUGGGGCUUCGGCGCUCGGCGGGUGGGGUCCCCAGUGGGCCUGGCUUAGGGUGUGCCAGGGCCCACCCGGACCCCCCUGUGGGUCCGCCCCUGCUCAUUUCAGACCUUCUGAUCAAGCUCGGAUUGGGAUGACAGCACCCCAUGCUUCUGAGUUUUCUCACUCGGUGUGGAGUAAACCUGGCGCUCUUUGCCUCCAGGUUUCGAGGAGGCAUUCCCAUACCAGAUCAUGCCGAUCACUGCCAGAAACAUGCCAAGGGCGACGUGGAAAUUGAGACCCUCUUUCCCAAAGAAAAAGAACCCCAGGGUCAACACGAGAACCGUCUUCAUGUGACCUAGGACUUGGAACGAGACGGCCGUGAAUCUUCCGAUGCAUAUGAACUGGCUUAGGUUGGUCCCGACAGCAAUUAUGCACGACAACACGAUAAAGACUGAAAAGGAAAACAUGUGACAGGAAAACAAUAAGUCUUGGCCAGGUUGGUCAAGCUUGCAGCAAAGAAAGAAAAUUUAUAAUAUCAAGCAAAUGGAUCUAAACCAUAUACAGUGGGUGCAGGACCAUCUCAGUGUAUUGUGUUAAAGCAAUAUGCGGUUGCUUAUGUCAAAACUAAACCAGUGGCAUAGCCAGGAUUUUACUAUAUACCCAGGGCGAUUUUUAAACACAAAGAUAUAUAGUUGCCUGACACCAGCAUAAUUACUGAUGUCUAGGAGUAAUCAUUUAAAAAUAUCCAAAUAACCAUGUUUUAACUAAAGCUAGGCUACAAAACAAUUGAAGUCCAACAGCUCCAUAAUAUGUGCAGAAAUGAGAGAUGUGAAGUUCCCAUGAAUCCAAAAUAUGAAAACAGUAUUUUGGGCAAAAUAAAGAUACGAAGCUCAUAAAGAUUAUAAAAUAGCAUGUGCCAAGGCUAAAAGAGACAAUUAUAAAAGAAGAAUAUGCUUGCUCCUCCAAUCACAAAAGAGUGAUGUUUUUGGGACACAUUCAGUCAAAGCUAAUUUAGAAGGGACACAUAGAAUGAUAACAUUAAUAGCAUAGCAACACAAGUUAUACUCAAGCAUGCACAUCUGGAGUAUGUUAAUGACCAAAUGUCCAAAGCGAAAAUUUAUGCGAGGUUGCGAGGAUAGACAAUGCCAAACUAGCUUGAGUGAAACAGACAGGUUCCUCUUCCUCGUGACGAUUUUGCAAAAGACAGCAUAAAUGAUUCAGAAUAGUAUGACAUACCGUAACUAUUGAUGUGUAGUUAAAAGCAUCGACUCUUUUGUUGGUCAGCCAGAAGUCCACAAAAGGACCCAAUACUAACAACGAUGCUGCCUGGGCUGGAGCAGUAUGGCCUAAGAGGUUGAAUGAGCCAAGCGAGUACUUCCAUUGAAGGUGGUGAACAUACUGCAGCAAAGAGGAGUAAACCAAAUAGAACACAGUGAUAAUAUGCCCUAAUAAGGAUAUCAUGGCAGGGGGAGGGCACGGCCAACAGGCCCAACACUAGUUACGUAAAGAUUAACAAGGUCCAAAAGGUCAAAGUUUGUUGAGCUGUUAGUCUAUUACCAAAGUUGUCGUACUCAAAGCAGCAGCAGGGGUACUGGAUUAUUUUGCUUACUUAGUUCAGGAAAAAAGGAGUGUGCCCAAUGAGAGCUCCCACACAAGGUGAGGCCUGGGGAAGGGAAUUUCUAAAAAGCCCACCCUUGCAUAAUUUUGCAAGAAGCCUGGUUCAAACUUCAAACUCAGGACCUCAGGCCACAAAUGGACAGGCUCCACUGCAUCAAGUUCACCCAAACAAAGAGGAACGUAGGAUUUCAGGAUACUCACCAAAAAGUUACUAAAAUUCUGUGCAAAGUACUUCUAUCGAAAAUUUAUAACCAGUAACUUCUAAAUUAGAAGCCGAGCUAUAAAAUAGUGCUAAAGAAGGAUAGCUCCAAAUAGGAAAAGAUGUCAUAUACAGAUAUAUGAACAACAAAGUACCAAGUCUCAACAUCAAUAAUACUCACAUGCUGCUGUAGUGCUGUGCUCCAAACAGCUAUUACUGCAGCUAGUAACCCUUGAGAGUUCACACUAACAUCAGUGACUGUGCAUACAGCAACACCUACAAGGACAAGCACUAUACUGAGCUUUGUAUCUCUAGAGUAACGGACUUUGUCGAACAUGAUUUCCAGAAUGCAUAAGACUGGAAUGAUACACAGCUUUGCGAUCUGAAAAAGGCAAGACAGACAGCGUCAGUAUACAAGUUUAAUUCCGAUAUACUUAUAGAAUAUCGAAGUUUCUGUCUGCACCUGAUAGAAUCCAACAGAGUUCCACAUCAAGCUUACAUUCAUCCCAACAAUAGACAGGUUCGCAAAAAAGGCGAAUUUUACUAGUUCAGGUAACGGUAGAUAGGACGGCUGAAUAUAUCCCAGCCAUUUCAUUACUAAUGUCAUCAAGGUCGUCAUCGCGAAAUGAAGUCCGGUCAACGUUGUAGCUGUCGAAGCAAAUAGCAGCGAACAAAUUAGUAUAAGACGAUCAGACUGGUUCUAUGCACAGCCAUAGUUUAAUUAGACUGGUUCUCAGCAAAAUCGUAGUUUAGUUUUAGACAGAAACAAAGACGCGGGUGAAUUAGGCAUCGUACUCGUACGCGGUUAUAGGAACGAAAGGUGGCACGGUCUUACCGAAACUAAAACCAUGCGUCGCCAUUAAGGCUUUGUUGACCAUGAUGAUACCAACGGAUGUGACGACAUUGAACAUCCAUGCGCCAGCGUCUAGUGCUGCUUUCCUCUCCGCCUUGCUUCCUGGCGCCAUACUGUCUUGACAUGUAGAGUCCACUCCAGUUUUCUGUAGGGGAGAGCCCAGUAAAGGACAGGGGUGUCCCAAGAAUAUUUUUCCCCAGAAAAAAUCCAAGUUAGUAGGCAUGCACACACUGGUAAUUAGAUCAGAUCCGGAUGCAAAUAGCCAAAUAGCUUAAGUUAGGGUUCGUGUGCUGGGUCUCGCACGGUAGGAUGGGAAGAGAAGGGCGUACCUGGUGGGUGCUCGUCGCCGGCGGAGGACCCGACGAGGAAUUGGGCACCUGGCGUAGUGCGGCGGCGGCGGCCAGUUGCCGCACGGGAACGCGCGGGCACCAGGGCCUGGACACGGGGUGAAGGAAAGGCAGGGGUGAAAUCCGCGGCUCGGUCGCUUUGGUGCUAGACUAGUAUACACUCUGGGGGUGUUUGGUUCCUCCUCCUAGAGUUUAGCAUGUGUCACAUCAAGCGUUUGACUUUAAAUAGGAGUAUGAAAUAUAGACCCAACCAACUAGAUUAGAUUCGUCUCGUCUUUUAAUCUUCGGCUGACAAAUUAGUUUUAUAAUCCGACUACAUUUAAUAUUCGGAACGGAGGUUCAAACAUUCGGCUGACAAAUUAGUUUCAUUCUCGGUACAUUCUCGUAGUUUGGCAGAAUUCGUGGUUCCGGACUGAAAUGAAAGUGGAGCACUGCUAGAUCAGAGCUAGGAUUCGACCGGUAGGAAGGAUCGUGUGUGAUCUUUAUUAACCAAUCAAGUGGGUCCCUUUUAUGUUAACCGGAGCCCGACCCGCUCGAAUAUUCUCCCUUCGUCUUAUCACGAAGGUUUUGUACUAAAUUAAUAUUUAGAAAAUUUAACGGUUAAUAACAAAAUAUUUUUAAAUAUUAAUUAAAUAAAAAUAAAAUAAUUACAUUUAUUAUUAAAAACAUCUAUUACAAUACAUAUUUUUAAUUUAAAAUAAUUAUUUUUUAAAUACUAGUGAUCAAAGCUUUAAAAUUUUGACUUAGAAUAAAUCUUCAUGACCUUAACAUAGAGAACAGAUAGAGUAGUGAUAUGGGACACGUGACCACACUCUCUAUUAUCGGACUAAUCGUGGGAGGGUCGCUAUCCAACACAUUGCCAUUAUCGUUUUCACCACUCAUUCCCUUAUUUAUUAUUACUUUGUUGGGGCUUCGGCUUACGAAGGUCCUCAAAAACAUGAUUUAACGAUGUUUCUGGCAUAUAAUGUGUGAACAGUAUCUUCGAACUCGAAUCGGUACCACAGUGGGAGAAAGCCCAAAGAAUACGAAGGUCGGGCACAGCACCAAAGCUGUGAGCGGAAAGCUUCAGCGUAAUAGUAGAAAAGGAAACCGACUUAAGAUAUGAAAAAGGCUAUUCAGACCUCGGUGGUACUAUAGAAUUACUACCAAAUGUAAAGGGCAUGGGUGUAAUNNNNNNNNNNNNNNNNNNNNNNNNNNNNNNNNNNNNNNNNNNNNNNNNNNNNNNNNNNNNNNNNNNNNNNNNNNNNNNNNNNNNNNNNNNNNNNNNNNNNGGGGUUCGAAGGCUAGCCCUCCGAAGGGUUCACAUGCCCUGCAGAUCGGUGGGCCCGACACCACUACUGGUCAGGGUUCGAAGGCCAGCCCCCCGAAGGGUUCCAUGCCGCUCAGGCUACUCGGCUCCGCGCCCAUUACUGAUCAGAGGUUCGAAGGCUGGCCCCCGAAGGGUUCACAGUCGCCUCAGACACCGAGCGAGGGAUGACCAGGGGUACGUUCGAUACAUAACCGAGGUCGGGCUGCGCUCCCGAGGUACCCUAGGACAUUCCGAGACCAGCGGGAACGAUCUUGUAACGGAAUCCCAUCGGAGGGAGCAUCGAGCCCUCGACCCGUCGCCAGGGACCGGGUCCGGCAAAUCACCGCAGUACUUUGGGCGUGCCUCUGGGCCCCUAGCCGACCCCCAACGAACGGGGCACGGACGUCCACUCGGAUUACCGCUUGCAGCUCACCGGAGACACCAUGUUCGUGCCCAUCGAGGGUAACAUGGCGCACUCCCCCCUCCUCCUUGCGGAAAGGCGACGUAGGGGCGUAUGUAAAAAGUCGAGUCUGUCCCUGAUCGUCCUCUCGCCCUGUGCAGAGCUCGGGGCUGCUCUCGCAAAACCGGCUCCGGCCAAAUCGUUGACAGCGUCAACAUACCAGCCCGAGAGCUUGGGCCCCGACCGUGCACCCGGGCUACGGCCAGUUCGCAUGAGGGAACGACCAGACCAGCCAAAGCGUUGAGCGAAGUAUUAAGACCUCGAAGGAGUGUAACCACUCCUCCGAGGCCUCGGGGCUACACCGGCGUGCGCUCGCGCGCACCCACCGGAACGAAAUGCAACCGAGAAAGGCUGGUCCCCUUGCAAAAAAGUGCGACAAAAGCCUCCAAGCGAUGCUAGCACUCCCUUCGAGGCUCGGGGGCUACUGUCGGGGACCAUAAUUAGGGUACCCUCAAGACGCCUAAUUCUCAGCUGGUAACCCCCAUCAGCAUAAAGCUGCAAAGGCCUGAUGGGUACGAUUAAUCAGGGAUCAGUCCACACGAGUGACUCGAUCACGCUUCACCCGAGCCUAGCCUCGCCAAGGACAGCCGACCUCGAGAGACUUCUGUCUCGCCCGAGCCCCCUUUUAUGCGACACAUCACGGCUGCCCGAGCCUUGGCUUCGCUCAGAAGCAACCUUGACUAAAUCGCCACACCACUAACCAAAUUGCAGGGGCAUUUAACGCAAAGGCCGGCCUGAACCUUUAUCCUGACACGCCCCCGACAGAGCCGAAGUGACCGCCGUCACCACCGCUCCACUAGCCAGUCUGACAGAAGACAGCGCCGCCUGCGCCACUCCGACUGCAGUGCCACUCGACAGAGUGAGUCUGACAGGCAUCAGGCCUUGCCAAAGGCGCCACGGCGAACUCCGCUCCGCCCGACCCAGGGCUCGGACUCGGGCUAAGACCCGGAAACGGCGAACUCCGCUCCGCCCGACCCCAGGGCUCGACUCGGGCCAAGACCCGGAAGACGGCGAACUCCGCUCCGCCCGACCCCAGGGCUCGGACUCGGCUAAGACCCGGAAGACGACGAAACUCCGCUCGCCCGACCCCAGGGCUCGACUCCGCCAUGGCCUCGGCCGAACGACUUCCGCCUCGCCCGAUCCCUUGGCUCGGGCUCGGCCACGGCAACGGAGGCAGACUCAACCUCGGCUUCGGAGAACCCCACGUCGCCCUGCCUAGGGCACAGACCGCACGUCAACAGGAGCGCCAUCAUCAUCCUACCCCGAAUCGACUCGGGUCAGGAGAACAAGACCGGCGUCUCAUCCGGCCAGCUCCGCCGGAGGGGCAAUGAUGGCGCUCCACGAGCUCUAUGACGACGGCGGCCCCCAGCUCUUACGGAAGCAGGACGACGUCAGCAGGGACUCGACCGCUCCAACAGCUGUCCCUCCGCCAAGCUCCGCGCACCUCCGACAGCCACGACAUCACGCCAGCAGGGUGCCCAGAUCUCUCCGGCUGCCACAUUGGCAUGUACCUAGGGCGCUAGCUCUCCCUCCGCUAGACACGUAGCACUCUGCUACACCCCCAUUGUACACCUGGAUCCUCUCCUUACGACUAUAAAAGGGAGGACCAGGGCCUUCUCAGGGAAGGUUGGCCGCGCGGGACCGAGGACGGACAGGCGCUCUCUUGGGCCGCUCGCUUCCCUCACCCGGUGGACGCUUGUAACCCCCUACUGCAAGCGCACCCGACUGGGCGUGGGACGAACACGAAGGCCGCGGGACUUUCACCUCUCUCACGCUCGACUCCGGCCACCUCGCCUCUCCCCCUUCGCGCUCGCCCACGCGCUCGACCCAUCUGGGCUGGGGCACGCAGCACACUCACUCGUUGGCUUAGGGACCCCCCUGUCUCGAAACGCCGACAGGAGGGGAGUAGUUGUUGUGGUUCCUCGACCGUCCCCGGUAUACCACCAGUUGAGGGCGUUGCCGACUCAGUUCUGGUGGCCUGGCUCCGAGCUGGGAUGCAUGAUCCUGUCGUACUCCUCCCGGCGGCGGAUCUCGUUCUCAUGCCGUCGUUCACGUGAAGCAUUGAUGGAGCUUCGCGCAUCCCGGCGACUGUUGAUGGCGUGUCGAAGAUCGUUCGGCGGGUGAGCGAGCGGUAGAAGAUGGUUGGCUGCCUGGGUGAACAGUCGUCGAUAGCCCUCGCGUCGGGAGUCCGAGGGAGUCCAUCAGCUAUCCGAGCUAGUACCCCUCUGACUUCACUCGGCGUGUUCAUGGCUCGGGCGAAGUCGGGAUUCAGGUUGCGCCGAAGAGUGGAUUCUCCCGGCGUUGCCUUGCAUCUUGCUCGGCUUGUUCCUGAGCCCGGCGGCGAUCACUCGUCGGGAGUUCCUUCAUCUCUGAAGACGCGUUCCUCCGGAGUUUCUCCUAUCUUCGAGACCUCGUCCCGCGAAACAGGUUGCUCCGGAUCCUGUUCUCCGGCCUCGUGGUGUCGUCGAGUGUUUCAGCGCCGGUUUUCUCCGUCGGCGGGAUUCCCGCUGAGGUGAUUCUUCUCCGGCGCGGUCGGCUUGUCGUCAGAGACGGGGGCGACUCCACUCUCUCCGAUGAAGAGGACAUCGGGGUAGAAUGGUACGGUGGUCGCGACGAUCUUUUUUCUGUUCUCCUUUGAGGGCGGAGGAACGGAAAGAACGACUUGCUUCCUCCCGGUCUCUUUCUUCCUUGCGACCCGUGUCCAUUCUUUCGUCGGGGAAGUAGACAGUGAGUCUCCGGGUCAGCGGGUUCUGAUCCCUGACUUCUGAAGGCGAUCUUUUUUUCGGGGAGCUGGAGGUUGCGCUUCUCCGUAUUUUCGGAGUUUGUUGGAGGAGACUUCUUUUUCGGCGGAUCUGCAAUGCGGUGUAGAGUUCCCACUUCAUCUGCUAUGGACGAGAUUGUUCCAAAGAAGAAUACGGAUCCGGGGAGGAGAGUGAUCUUGCUGUGGAAGGUGACGGCCAUUGAGCUAGCUUGGAUCGUCGACACACCCCUACCUGGCGCGCCAGCUGUCGGUGUUUUGGGUCCGACCGCACACCCGGGGUUGCCCCUCUAGGUGUUUUAGGAGCAGGACGGUGUCGCCGACUGUAGCAAAAUGGUUCGUGCCAGAUGCACGAGGGACAAUGGACAGUGUUUACAGGUUCGGGCUGCUUAGAGAUGCGUAACACCCUACGUCCUGGUGAGUAUGCUUUGUGUAAUGGAAUACAAGGUUGCUCUCAAUGCGUAGAGAGUUGAGGUGGAUGGUAGAAUAGUAAUGGGUCGAUCUAUCUGAAGGGGUGCCCCCUAGGCCUUAUAUUCGACCGUGGGGCAAUACAUGUGGAUAUGAUAACAAUGUGCACCUAAAAGAUAGUGAACUGUUCGAGUCUGUCUUCCUAUGGUUCUGCCGACCUAUCCUCGCCUGGUUCUGUUGCAUGGGGCUCCAGCGCGGGAAAGUCGGAUCUUUGUUGUGGUCGCUUGCUCAACGCUGUGGGUCGUCCGGGCUUGCACCAAUCCGGCCUUACAUCAACCUGCUUUACCGAUUGUCCCUCCCCAGGCCACGAAGGAAUGGCCUUACGAUUUAUUGGGCCCUUGGGCCUCUCGUGAGGUCUUUUACCCUUCCAGUGGACCCGGGGGAUAUAUGUCCCCACAAUCCUUUACUAGAAAAGCUUGAUUGGUGCUUUAUAAAGGCAAUAGGAACUUCUCGCUAAACGAUUACAGCAUGUGAUUACCAAGCUAGUUCACCAGAAUCAAUAUGGAUUUAUAAAGGCAAGGUCAAUUCAUGAUUGUCUAGCUUGGGCUUUUGAAUACAUCUCUCUUUGUCAUAAGUCAAGAAAAGAAAUGGUCAUUAUAAAACUGGAUUUUGAAAAAGCUUUUGAUAAAUUAGAGCAUGUGACUAUUAUUGACAUAUUGAGACACAAGGGGUUUGGAGACAAAUGGCUUCACUGGAUCUCAAUGAUUCUAAACUCUGGUACUUCAGAAGAGCUUCUGAUUGGUGUCCCUGGGCAACGUUUUCACUGCAAGCGUGGAGUCAGACAAGGGGACCCCCUGUCCCCCUUCUCUUUGUCCUUGCGACAGAUCUCCUGUAGUCGAUUGUUAACAAAGCUAGUGAUCAUGGUAUCCUCAGGCUCCCUCUUCCGAACGCAUGUGGAGUUGACUUCCCUAUUAUUCAAUAUGCGGAUGACACUAUUUUGAUAAUGGAGGCUUGCCCUAAAUAGCUUUUCUUUCUAAAGGCGAUGCUUAAUUCAUUUGCUGAUUCUACAGGUCUCCAUGUCAACUAUCACAAAUCUAAUAUCUACCCCAUCAAUGUCUCAGACCAGAAAAUGGAAAUUCUAGCAAAUACAUUCCACUGCAAGAUUGGAUCAAUGUCGUUCACCUACUUAGGGCUCCCCUUGGGAUUAAAAAGACCCAACCUGGGAGCUUUCCUUCCACUCAUUCAGAAGAUAGAGAGAAGACUUGCGACAACUUCUGUUUUCUAUCUCAGGCUGGCAGACUGCAAAUGGUUAACGCGGUAUUUUCCUCUCUACCAACAUAUUACAUGUGCACCCUCAAGCUACCAAAAUCGGUGAUUAAGCAUAUUGAUAAAUUCAGAAGACACUGUCUAUGGAGAGGAGCAGAUAUAAAUACAAAGAAACCCCCUCAGUAGCAUGGAAAACAGUCUAAAAACCAAAAGCUCAGGGUGGACUGGGAGCUAUAAAUCUAGAAUUACAAAACAAAGCCCUCCUUAUGAAGAAUCUUCACAAAUUUUAUAACAGAGCUGACACUCCGUGGAUCAACAUAAUCCGGGUCAACCACUAUGACAAUUCGCUACCUUCAGAUAAGCUAGUAGGCUCAUUCUGGUGGAGAGACAUUCUUAAAAUUCAAGAAUCUUAUAAAGAGUUAGCACGGGUGGAGAUUGGAGACGGAAAAACAACCCUACUGUGGCAUGACAACUGGGGCGGCAUGCGUAAAUAUGCAAGCUACCCAUAACUUUGGUCUUUCGCUUCCAUGAAAGACAUCACUAUUCGCCAAGCAAGAACGACAACCUCACAUGAGAUGUUUCACAUUCCUUUGUCUGUUGAAGCUUUCGAGCAGUUUCAUGCUUUACAAGGCUUGUUGGUAAAUCUUCCGCAACAUGAUCUGAGAGACAAAUGGCUCUGUAAUGGUUCCUCCAGCCUGUUUUCUUCACAGAAGGCCUAUUCUUAUAUGUCUGGUAACCAGUGGACUCACCCCAUCUUCUCCUGGUUAUGGAAAACAAAAUAUCAGCCUAAACACAAGGUAUUUUUUUGGUUACUGCUUAAAAAUAGACUAAAUACUCGUUCACUCCUCAUUCAUCGAUCUAUGCCACUGGACCCUUACACUUGCGACAAAUGUAUCCUCCAACUCGAAGAGACGGUUCUUCAUCUAUUUUCCAGAUGCAACUUUGCUAGAAGAUGUUGGCUCCUAAUAGGCAUCACACCGCCAAGAACAGCGGAUCUAAUCAAUACCUUGCUGAGGAUUAGAAUGAGAUGGAAAGUGCCAUGGAGAAUGGAAACUAUCAUCAUUAUGUCCUGAUGAAUUUGGAAAAACAUGAAUAAUUGGAUAUUCAACGAGACCCCGCCCACGGUGGAUGCGUGUCAGGAAAUGUUUAAAAGAUAAAUGAGUCUCGUGUGCUACCGAGUUAAACCAGAGAUAGGUGAUAAAAUUAGUAAUUGGAUUCAGUGCUCUGUAUCGUAGUGACUUUGUUCCCAUCCUGUAACUAUUUAGAUUUGGCCAAGAAAUAAUAAAAUAUUGUAGGUCCUCCCUACAGUAACUUAACAUAAAAUAAACUUAACAGUUAAAUAUCCAAACAGGACCGCUAAAAGGUGUCCUGCAAGCAAAUUAAGUUAUUAUAGAAAAAAGAAAAUCACAUUACAAGGUGGUAUCUGAUCCAACAUUAUCGAAGGGGUUUGAGUUUUUAAAGUAGUCCAAAAAGUAUUUUUUUUAAAAAAAAAUCGAUAAACAAGGUCAACAAAUUUAAUGAUGCCAUUGCAACAGCUUUGAAAGAUAUGCUCAUAUGUUGUACCGUUCAUUACUGUGUCAUCUAUUGAAGUUCUCAAGUUCUCUGACUCUGGAAAUUAAUAACGACCAGCAGUAGAUGUGGAUAGAUUUCCAAUCGCUCAAGCCUCAAAGAGACAAAAGGAUAUAUAAAAAAAGAUCUUGAAUUGGUUUCAGGUAUUGAAAUUAAAUGCAAUCAUUUGGGGGAUAUUAUAGUUGAGUUUAUUCAUGUAAUAAUCUGCCUAGUACUAGAUGGUUUCCGGUCGCCACCGGGGAGGGAAACCCACCGGCCGUACGUGGAGCUCGGUCAGCGGCGGCCGCUGGGAAGGCUCUCGUGGCAGGUAGAGUGUCUCGUCCGUGUAGCACACUGCACACCUGGAGUGUCCUCGUCCAAUCACGUGCCUCCAUCCCCUCCGGCCCAUCAUGCACAUACACGCUGAUGAUGCGCUCUAGCCACCUGCAUGGAGUAUUCCGUGGCUUCUGUCGCUGUCCCGGCGGUUGAUCACCGCGCCGGCUAGCUAGCUCUAGCUCCUCGCGCGCAGCGCUAGCUCUAUCCGCAUCUUGGGGCCGCUUGCGCCGUCCGCGUUGGGCGUUGGCCGCGUGGCAGGUAGACGUCUGGCCACCUGCCUCGCCGUCUCGUCGCCCCCAGCCUUUGCCGCCUCGCGCGCGCGCUGCUUGGGCGUUGCCGGGUGCCGUGACGACGCAUGGACUCGUGGAGACAACACGUACGUACGCGCGCACGACGGCGGGACGACCGGACGAGAUAGUAUGCCUUUGUGCCAUCUGCCGUGUCAACGGGCCGGUGCGGCGGCGGGCGGUCCGGCGGUUUGUUGCCGCUCGCUGCUUGGUGUAUGUGUCUAAGCCUGAGAAGCGGAUACGCACGCGGUCAUUGAUAUUUUUUGGAGGCCAAAGAUAAAACGCCUCCACGUGCCAUUUGCCAAGCGUGUGAUCCGUCGAAGGAUCACACGCAUCUUUAUCUAUGCGAGUCUGCGAGUAUGCGUGCCGUAGCCCUUUGCGGCCCGGGACGCCGCUGACUUGACAACCAACACGGGGUGUGCCCCCCGCCAGCCGGUCUCUCCUUCCCCCGCUUUGGCCGCGCGCAGCUCUAUAUAUCCGGCCACCGAGCCCCACCCACGCCUCUCCAUCACGCCACGCUCUCAGUCACGCCACACACCCACCACUCUCCUACUUGUCCGCCUCUCCGUCGUCUCCCUCUGCGCGCCCCCGCUCCAGGUCAACUCUGCCAUCCACGGGAGAUCGGUCGACCGACCGGCCUAUCAUCCAUGGCGCUCGACGCGGCCCUCGACGUGUGCAGCAAGACGCCGUCGCCGUCGCCGCCGACGGUCGACUCGUCGGCGCGCGGCGGGAGGCGGUCCAAGCGCCGCGCCGGGAGCCCCGCCAGCGACGGCGGAGGAGGAGUCGACGGCAACGACCAGCCCGAGCAGGAGGAGUACCUCGCGCAGUGCCUCCUGAUGCUCUCGCACGGCCUCCCCGGCGACGGGGCCGCGCCGCCUUCGGCGGCGGCGAAGGCGAAGGCGAUCCAGCAGCAGCAUCAGCACGGCCGGUACGAGUGCUCCGUGUGCGGCAAGGUGUACACGUCGUACCAGGCGCUGGGAGGGCACAAGACGAGCCACCGGAAGCCGCCGGUGGUGGCGCCCGCGCCCGCGCCAGCACCAGGAGGCGAGGCCGACGCGUCGUUGUCCGGCGGCACCGCGCACGCGGCUGCGGAGAAGGAGAAGACGCACCGGUGCUCGGUCUGCAAGCGCACGUUCCAGUCGGGCCAGGCUCUGGGCGGGCACAAGCGGCUGCACUACGAGGCCAAGGCCAAGGACGCGGACGCUGUGGCGGCGACGGCCGUGCUGCAGAACUUGGACCUCAACCUGCCGGCCGAGGGCGCGCCGCCGGAGCCCAAGCGGGCGCGGACGAUGCUGCUGCUGGCUUGAUCCAUCCCCGCCGGUCGAUCCAACGGCGGCGAGAUGGGAGUUGGCGCCAAGUGGCGGUCUAGGUUCUUGAUAGAGAGUUGUUUGGUAGGUCGUCCAAUUUCGAUGGUUAUUUGGUUGGUUUCUUUGUUAAUUUUCGGUUUGCGUCGCGUGCCGUCGGCUGCGUCGGUCUCGGUUCGUUCGGUGCUGAUUGUUAUGAUGCACCUUUUUUUCGGUUCAGACUUCCUAGGAAGAUGAUUCAUUUCUCCAUAUUCUGCGACGACGCGGAGCCGCCGGAUUAAGAACCGGACGGCUGAUGCGCGCGGUCUCUCUCUAUUUAGAUAUAGCACCUAUAAAUCCUGGUGUUCAAAGUUCAAACCCCCCACAUACACAUGCAUGGAAAGUUGGAAACUUCUGUUUGCCUUUUUCUGAUGAAUCUCGGUGUGGAAGCGAAUGUAGGGACGCUGGUUGUGGUAGCGUAGUCGUCGACAAGGAUACAGCUAGAUCGGGGUUACGAUUCAUUUACAUAUAAAUAAAAAAUGUACAGAGAGAUCCUUGGUGUGCCAAUAAAUGGGAUUAACUCGAUUGUGUGUGAUCUUAGUCUUAGCUGCCACUGUCCCAUUAGCGGCCACCGGCCGACCAGUGCAGUACGCCGGCCCGCCACACACCGCGAAGGUGCAAGCUACUCGUAGUCGUACUGCAUGUGUGGCUGACUGGCUGUGCGCGCUAAAGAAAUCGUGAAGGCUGCUCAUGUGGACGCAGCGUUGACCAUGUCGGAUGGCGCUGCAACGACUGUGCAAAGUUUCCGGAUGGUGAAUCAGAACCACCACGAGCGCCGCGCCGCGCCGAUAGGCGAUAGCUAGGGCGUUUGUUUUGACAGGUGAGUCACUCGCGUCUCGCCCGGGCCGGCCGGGGCGCGGUGACGGGACGGGCCAGUGACUUGUCGUCCGGUCAGCCGGCUUCGUUUUCGUUUCUCCGAAGCGUUCGUUUCAACCGUCUAGCUAGCUAGCUAGGCGAAGUUGAAAAGAGCUACCUCAUCACUGGCAUGAACGAAUUUUCGUUGCGUGUCAGCGUGUGUAGUCCCAGUCCUUUCAGAAAUAUGUGUAUGGCUACUGAGAUAAGUGCCGGCUUUGUCAAAACUCAAAAGGCAAUGUCGCAUGUCACCCUGGAAGCAAGCUGCGUUUUCCUUUCGUUCCAUCAGCACGUGUCGAGUUCAUUCAUCUGUGUCAAGCUAAUUAAGUAGCCAGCCAAAAAUAUCAGUCGUCCUACACGUCGUGGUGUGCUUCGCAUUACUAGCUACCCGGCGGCCUAAACCAAUGACACAUAUACACACUCAAAUACUCAAUGUGCGUGGAGGAAGCUAGCUCUGGUUAAUUUUAGUAAAGGGAAGUACUGAUGCAGGAGUUUAUCUUCAGCUUAUACAAAAGUAAAGAAAAUGACUUGUGUAUACGAGUCAAUCUCGUCGCUACUCCUCGCUAGUUUUUCUUUUUUUUUUAAGAAAAAACGACCUCGCGUGAUACGCGCGUACACACACGUGGUGUCAUGCCGUAACCCCUCGUGUCACUUGCUCCUGCAAUACAAGGAAAGUGGCGGGAGAGGGAAGCAAGAAAGUGACCACAGGGUACCUUCUGUGAAUUCGAUUUGCCGAUAUUUCAAACGAUGUUCUUCACAAGUUAACACAGGAAUUGAGCACGACCAAUGAUAUGAUAUGCGUGAGCAAACAAAUAUAUCAUUAUUCAUGUCUACCGAGGUACUAUACCUCUGCCUUUAAAUAGAUGUGGUUUUGGUUUUUUGGUCCAUUUUAAACUAUCUUUACUUUGAAGUCAUAUCCGAAACAGAUACUUUGCAAGUUGUCAAAGUAAAACAACUUUCUUAGGUUUGAUUGAAUCUCUAGAAAAAAGAACAUUACUAGUAUUUUUAACACACAAUUUCAAUCACCAGAUAUCCAUAUAAAUGUACUUUAUAAUCUAGUACUUAUUUGGUGCCAUAUAUGUUGAUAUUCUUUAACAUAAAGUUGGUUAUUAUAAUAGUUUGACCUAAGACAACUUUAGAAGUUGAUCUAUCUAGAAACGUUUUGAGUAGACAAUCGUAUCAUUUUUUUAUGACUUUAAAUAGUCAAUAUCAUGUAAAAAUGUAUUAUUAUCAUCAUAUAAGGAACCAGAUAAUACAUAUUUAAUAUGAUAAGCAGCUGUAUCUUUUCUGUAUAAAUUGGUCAAAAUUAAGGGAUAGAAUUUAUCCUUUGGGAGUGUGGAUUCGAAUAGAAAAGGAGUAACCAGAAACGGGAACCAAUCGUAAUCUGCUCUUCACUGCAUUGUUGUCAAUGUUUCAUGGCUCUGAAUUUGUUUGAACUUCAGUGACCUCAGACUUUUGUGCCUUUCUUCUCCCUUCCACCUCUUUAACAGCUCAAAAACGUUAAGAAACUUAGACGGGUAAAUGCUUGUUGAUUGGCUUGUCACUUGUGUGGUAGUCAAGCUGUUCUAUUCGAUUUUGUUGACGUGUAACUAAUCAAUGGCUGCAUACCGGGCAAGCUUAUCUUAUCGCUGCACUAGUAAAGCCCUAACGGUGAUGACAGCUGCCGGGGUCAGCACUCAGCAGUGCAGACCCCACGAGAGACGCGACCGAGACGACUCAGGAAGCAAGCAGGCGGCGAAUUGAGCCGGUAGAGCGCCAGCCGCCAGUUUGCUUUACGCGGGCUGCGGCAGAGCACGGCCAUCAGCAUCUAGUUGUUGUCUGGCGCAUGGCAGACAUGUUCACAAACCGAUAGGAAUAAAGAAGGUGAUACGAUACCUUUGGAGAAUUUCACACUCUGGGAGAGCAAUUACAACGAAACAGUUCCUUGUAUCGUGGAACGUGGCCGGUUCCCGGCUGCUAAUGUCAGGCGCAGGCCGCUGGGUACCCAUUUUCUGCUAUGGCCUACAAUUCUAUAGAAACAAACAUCUCCCUCAAAAAAAAAAGUACAGUAUAUAAAAAUAAACCAGGUCGAUCAAUGUUCAACAAGCACCGGAUUCCUUUGUGUGUCUCAUUUCCAGUGGCGGACCUAGGAUUUUUACAUAGGGUGUGCCGCAAUAAAAUUUUCAUGUAUAAUUUUAUCUAAUAUACAUAUAAUUUAAUAGUAAAUUUAGUAAACAAUUUGAUAUAUAGAUAUAAAAUUUGACAUUCAACAAAUAAGUAUGAAACUUCUGUUUUUUGCAGCAUGAUUACGAAAAAUAGAGACAAUAUUUCCCUGCUUCUUCAUAUUUUAGUCACUACAAAAAUAAUGGUAGUAAAUCAACAAUCAAUAAGACAAAAAUCCUAAAUUCUAAAACCAGCAGGCAGAUCAAUAAAAUUCUAAACAAUCAAUAAAAUUCGUUGGUUUUUUGUUGGGUUCAAGGAAGAGGGGCAACAAGGCCAUGAGAGAAAAAACAUUGACAUAUUAUAUAAUUUGAGUGGUAGAGAUAGAACCACUGAAUUUAGCUUGAGAGAAAAUCGCUUUUGGAGCUAGCAGGUAAUCAGCAGCGGAAAGGGAAGCUACUACUGCUAAGAUCUGGAUCCAUGUGCCGCAGUGGCGGCGUCUGGCUGAGUCGGCGACUGGCGUCUGGCGGACAGCCGCACAGCGCGCACUCGCCACUUCGCCUUCGCCAGAAAGCCAGCCAGCCAUGUCUCCAGCCGCUAGGAACAGGCGAACAGCCGCAGUCGUGCUGAAGGAUUGGAGAAGUUGAAACAACCUUGGGGCUUCGGCGCUCGGCGGGUGGGGUCCCCAGUGGGCCUGGCUUAGGGUGUGCCAGGGCCCACCCGGACCCCCCUGUGGGUCCGCCCCUGCUCAUUUCAGACCUUCUGAUCAAGCUCGGAUUGGGAUGACAGCACCCCAUGCUUCUGAGUUUUCUCACUCGGUGUGGAGUAAACCUGGCGCUCUUUGCCUCCAGGUUUCGAGGAGGCAUUCCCAUACCAGAUCAU